GGUAGAAUAGCUGGGUCAUAUGGUGGGAUAUCCCUACUUUUUGAGAAAUCUCCAUAAUGCUUUCCAGAGUGGUUGUAAUAAUUUGCAUUCCCACCAACAAU
rnacentral:pre_miRNA from 1 species